UACGGGGGGAGCAAGCGUUGUUCGGAUUUACUGGGCGUAAAGGGCGCGUAGGCGGCGCAACAAGUCACUUGUGAAAUCUCCGGGCUUAACUCGGAAAGGUCAACUGAUACUGUGCGACUAGAGUGCGGAAGGGGCAACUGGAAUUCUCGGUGUAGCGGUGAAAUGCGUAGAUAUCGUAAGGAAGACCAGUGGCGAAGGCGAAUCUCUGGACAGUUACUGACACUGAGGCACGAAGGCCAGGGGAGCAAACGGG
rnacentral:rRNA from 1 species